GCCGUGCGCUCUGGAUCGCGCCAGAGAUGUCGCUUCGGAACGGCAUCUCUGAGCGUUAUCUAGAGAGAGGAGAGUGUCGUGAGCGUGGAGCGUCAGGUAGCUCAGUUUAGAGCAAUCGCCCGGCAAAGCGAAAGACCCGGGUUAAAGUUCCGGCCUAACAAAACCGCGCUCUCGAUAUAUUUCUCUCUCUGGAACGAAAAGAUAUGCAGAUCUCGUACGGCGUCCCGCCGCCUAAUACGCUCUCUUCCUUCUAUAAAAGCUCCUUCAAAGCUCUUGUGGAGGCAUAAUAUGGAUUAAGAAUCUAGUUUUCGCAAUUAUGUUGAGACAAUGUCCAUUCUAUGGAUCUAAUAAUACGAGGGUGGAUCAAUUACCAGUGUUUGAAGACAAGUGGCGUUGCUGAGGAAAGUUGGGAUUACCAUCGUGUACCAUCUUUCAAACGACGCCAAAAUUUCAGACUUAUUCAUAAAAAUAAAAACGAAGUUGGAUGCUAUCUAUGAGGAUCCUUCACCAUCUAUGACAAUCGUGAGGUAUUGGUUCAACGAAUUCAAACGUAACCGUACAUCUGUUUUUGAGGAGCGCCCAGGCCGCGGGGCAGACGUGGUUACUGAGGAAAUCAUUGAAAAGGUCCACGACAUAAUUCUCGUUGAUCGCCGAACGAAAGUGCGCGAAAUAGCAGAGGCGGUAGACGUGUCGUAUAGAAUGGCAAUCAAUAUUUUACAUGAUAAGUUAAGAAUGAGAAAGCUGUCGGCCCGAUAGUGCCGCGAUUGCUCACGGUAGACAACAAGCGGAUACGGCUGUCAAUUUCAAAGCAGUUUGGACCUCUUUAAGCGAAAUCCGCAGGAAUUUUUGCGUCGAGUCGUCACCGUUGAUGAAACCUGGAUCCAUUCCUAUACGCCAGAGACCAAGCAACAGUCAAAACAAUAGGCUUUUCCGGGCGAAUCUGCUCCGAAGAAGGUAAAGACGGUCCCACCGGCCGAAAAGGUCAUGACCACGAUUUUUUGGGAUUCGAAGGGAAUAAUCCUCAUGGACUUUUUGGAGAAAGAAAGCACGAUCACGGGGCAAUACUACAGUGAAUUAUUGGACCAAUUCGUCGAAAAAUUGAAGGAUACACGGUCCCAUUUG